UUAACAGCUGUUUUUUUUACAACAGAAAAACACAUCACUAACAAAACAAAACAGCUGCCGCGCAAUUGGAAAAUUGCGCAAAAACAAAAGGAAAUUCAAAACAAACUAUUGACGACGAUAAGUACAAAGAAAAACAAUAAUAAACAACUGACUGAUCCAUCUUGUGUUUGAAUAGGGCCUCAACUGGACCCCGGCGUACCCUCCCUGCCUGAGAUGGCCACAUCGGCGCCAUCUCCCUUUCGUUGGCCACCACCUCAGUGGCUACUCCUCAUCCGGCGUAGUGCUGUGGAAUCCCCCUCCCCUCCAUGAUGAGAAGACUCACACAACCAUGUUCAACAUAUCAUAACAAAUAUUUGGACAAAAUGGCAAAGGAGCAAGAUCAAACAAAAUCACGCAGUAGGACGAGCGAAACCAACAUGUAGCCGCAACGGCGUAAAGGACAACUUCUCUUUAUAUGUAUACUCAGCGUCUGACUAACUUCCUGCACGCGCCGAGUGCACCUGCAAAACAUUCCAAGAAGACCCAAGCCAAGUUGCCCAAUACAUCCGCCACAUGCCGGUGCAAGCAAUUCCAGGAACAAGAAGCAUUGCACCCAAUUCACCAACCAAAGCAGCGCUGUCGACGCCGCUGCUGAAACUCGCAGCUUUAUAUAGGGCUAGCUUUAGAAUUAGUCUUUAGUCUUUAAUUCAAUUUCAAUAAAGAACGGUUCCAAUCGGAAUCGUAAUGAAAUAUAUUUUUGUUAUUAUUUUUAAAUAAAUAAUUAACUGGCGCCCGAGCAGGGACCGGAAAGUUCGCGUAUCGAUAGUGCAAAACCGUAUCUAAGUGCGCCAAAGAACAUUUUCGGUCAAAUCGCGUUACGAUAGAGCAAAACAGUUUCUAAGUGCGUGAAAGCGAAUAGUGCAUCGACAGAGCAAAACAGUUUCUAAGUGCGCGAUUCAAACCAAGUUAUUAUCCCAAUAAAGGCUCGUGAUAAUCAAUCACUGGGAAAUAACAACCAGCCAAUCGGACAUUAAUUUGACGAAGUGCAACUAAGCCAAAAGGACGUUAAUUCGACCAAGUGCUACCAAAGCAAUUAAAUUUGCAAAACCUUCGCGACUAUUAAAUUAGUCAGUUGAAGGAACAGUUCAAACAAUCUCGGCAAUUAAGUUAGCCAACAUAAACCUGUACCAAGCCAUUAAGUUAGCUAGUGUAACAGGUGAGAUUGUGAGAACUGCAUCGGUGGACCACAUAUUCUGCAAGAUCCGUUCUCAGAAUACUCUCCAGGAGGUAUGGAUCACGGAGCCCCAGUAGCAGCUGCAAAAGGAACAACCCCGUCCCAUCAGGAAAGGUGGCCACAUCAUUGCUAAUGUAAGCUAGAUAUAAGAAAUUUUACAAAGAAAAGAAAACAAAAACAGAAAUUAAAAACAUAAAGCAAAGUGUGAAAAUACACAAGACUCCAAGGAGUCCAUAUAGAAUAUAGCAAAUCACAAGCAAAUGAAUAAAACUAAAAGCGAAAAGCAAAAUUAAAAAAAAUAUAUAAGAAAAGAAACGAAUCAUUGCAAAGUAAACAAGACUCAAAAGAGUCCAUAGUAAAAGAGUAAAUAACAUAAAUAAGCGUAAAGCGAUAAAUCAAACAAAAAGAUCACAACGGUGAUAUAACUUAUUCCAACUUUGCGAUUCCCAAGGGACCCUCCAAGGUAGAAGGAAAAAACCAUCCACUGGUUAUAAACUUAUAAUAUAAAACAAAAAAAAAAAAAAAAAAAAAAAAAAAAAAAGGAAAAA